AUGGGAACAUCCCAUCUGAAGAAUAGUGUUUCAUCCUCACAGGCCAUCAUCUCCAGGCUGGAACUUCAGCUAACCUUUCAGAGGCCAUUUCAUCAGGCUUCCAUCUCCUGGUGGCGCUGGUCUGGAAGAAUCUUGAAAGCAGGCACCUUGUUCUGCUGGAUUCUGGCUGUGGCUGGAUGUAAUCAAUGCUUGCUCAGUGAGUGAAUGAGGCAGUCAACCCAAUGCCUGGACCAGAGGAUACAAUCCUUGAUCUUAACCCUUAAUCUUAGCAUGGAGGACUUCUGUGACUAAGGAAAGGACUCCUUCUUCAAUAAAUGGUGCUGAGGUAAUGAUAAAGUAUUUAGAAGCAAAUGUACUGAUGUCUAAAAUUUACUCUAAAAUGUGUCAAAAAUAAGAUGGGUUGAUAGUGAGAUGUAUGCAUGGAAAUUUACAUAUGUGAUAAAAUCCAAAUCAAUGUUUAUAGUUGAAGCUAAUAAUAUGCAUACAAGUGUUUGUUUUAACUUUUUUUUCAACUUUCUUGCAGGUUAGAACACUUUCAUAAUAAAAUAUUAGGAAAAAGGAAGGUAAAGUGAUGAUAUUUUAAGACAAACAAAAACUAGACGAAUUUAUCAUCAACAACAUGCACUAAAAAUAUUAAAAGAGUUUUUCAAGCAGAAGGAUAAUGAUUAAAAUUAUAAUGAUGCAAAUGUAGAAAUAAAUGAGCACAUGAAAAGGUAAAUAUUUGGACAAGAAGAAAUCAAUUUUGACUGAAUAAAAUAAUAGUAAUAGUAAUUAUAUUAUAGAAUUUAAUAUAUGUUGAAUUAAAUGCAAGAUGGCAAUACCAACAGGAAGGGGGUGAAAGAGUUAAGCCUCUAGCACUGUGGGGUGGUGGUAAAAGUAUAAUAAAUCAAGGAUGCAUGUUACAAACUCUGCAGUGGUCACUAAAAGAGUGUACAACUGUAAUCAAAUAGAAAGAAAAAAAGAAAAAAUUUAAAGCAUUUGAUUCAUUCAGAAGCAGACAAUAAAGGAGAGAACAGGAAACAUAAAAUACAUUGUUCAAAUAUUAAAACAGUAAAAUGAUAGAACAUAAAAUCAAAUAUAUCAGUCAUUCCUUUAAAUAUAUAUGCACUAAAUACUCCAAUUAAAAUACUUGACUUGUCAGACUAAAUGAAAAACUCAAUUGGCCAGGCACGGUGGCUCAUGCCUGUGAUCCCAGCACUUUUGGAGGCCAAGGUGGGUGGAUCACUUGAGCCCAGGAGUUCGAGACUAGCCUGGACAAAAUGGUGAGAGCCUAUCUCUACAAAAAAUACAAAAAUUAACCUGGCGUAGUAUUUCCAGCUACUGGGGACGCUGAGGUGGGAGCAGUGUUUCAGCCCAACGUUCAAGUGAGUUGAGGCUGUAGUGAGCUGUGAUUGUGCCACUGCACUCCAGCCUGGGUGAUAGAGUGACACCCUGUCUCAAAAAAAAUAAACAAGUAAAAAUUUUAAAAUAAGAUUGAACUAUAUUCUGCUGACAAAGAACAUAACCAUCAGAGUUGAAGAAAGUACAAAGGAAGUGUCAGGUGUGUACACUGAUAUUUGUAAAUCUUUACUUAAUGAAACUAAAGAAGAACUAAAUAAACAUCAUAUGCCAUCUUCAUGGAUGGAUGAGAUAUAAAGGUGCCGAUAGUCCCUGUAUUAGUCUGUUCUCACACCACUAUGAAGAAAUACCCGAGACUGGGUAAUUUGUAAAGGAAAAAAGCUUAACUGACUAACAGUUCCACAUGGCUUGGGAGGCCUCAGGAAACUUAUAAUCAUAGCAGAAGGCUAAGGAGAACCAGGCAUCGUCUUAACAGGGCUGUAGUACAGAGUGAGUGCAAGCAGGUGAAAUGUCAGGUGCAUAUAUAACCAUCAGAUCUUGUGAGAACUCACUCACUGCCAUGAGAGCAGCAUGGGGGAAACGGCCCCCAUGAUUAAAUUAUCUCCAGCUAGUCCUGCCCUUGACACAUGGGGAUUAUGGGGAUUACAAUUCAAGAUGAGAUUUGGGCGGGGACACAAAGCCUAACCAUAUCAGUUCCCAAACUCAUCUAUGUGUUUGAGGCAAUGCAAUCUGAUUAAGUUAUUUCUUUUUUAAACGAAAAGGGGAAAAUAAAUUUUAUGAUGCUAAAAUUUUAAAAGACAAAGCAGUAUCAAGUUCGACAGAAAUGUGUGAAGACUGGCUUUCUGUCACACUCAGGGUAGGAAUGCAAAUUUGCACCACUUUGCAAAUCUGUUCAUCAGGAUCUACUCUGACCACACCCACCCUCAACACUAUGUAGGAUAUGUACACUAUUACAAUACUCUAUACCUGGAAACAAUACACGUUAAGCAGAAUGGAUCAACAUACCUGGCAUACUCACACCACAGAAUACUACACAGCAAUAUGAGUGAAUGAAUUACAACCACACACAGCAAUAGGGAUCUGGACUUGAGAGUGGAUGGUAUAGACAUAGAGUUGAUGGUUCGAUGGCAAUUUAGAAGCCCAAAAUAUUCAGAGUCCUCAAAAAAUUCACAGAACUGGAUCUGCUUAUUAGCUUAUUUGCAUUUCCUGUGGUUGAAACAUGUGAUCAUUGAUUAAUUACUGACCAAGUCCACAACUUUACAAUCAAUGAGUCCAUUUACAAGUUUUAACUGAGCACCUACUCUGUUUGAGAAUUAUUCCUAUAUAGCAGCAAACAAAUUCCCUUCCACACAAAGUUUAUGUUCUAGAAGAUGUCAUUGCUUGGAAAUAAAAUUGGCAUAUGUGUAUGUGUUACUGCAAAGUAGAAAAUAUUCUCCAAUUUUAGCUUCCUAGUCUGAGUUAAUAGAAUCGAAGCACCUAGAACUAAUUAAUAAAUUUUAUUUUUUUUGAGAUGGA
ensembl:lncRNA